rnacentral:miRNA from 1 species
AAACCAGUUACCGUGGUUUGU